UUUAAUAUUUUUGAUGAUUUGCUUUUGCUAUCAAAUGGAGAAACUGGUUAUUCUGGAGAAGCAAACAUGGCUCUAAUGUUUUUUGCUGAUACAGGUUUUCCUUGUUCCAUUAAAAGAAAUCCUUCUGAUCAUUUCAUUAUGAGCAUUAAUUUGGACUUUGGUUUGGUUAAUGAAGCUCUUGCUAGAUGUCAUACAACAUCAAAUUCAACAGAUGGAAUUAUAAGAACUGCAGAUGCAUUUUUUCUUCCUGUUUUAAUAAUUAUAUUUUCUAGAACAUUGAGGACAAUGUUAAUUGUCAAGGGGUAG